GCAGUAGCCGCGGGAAUACGGAGGAUCCAAGCGUUAUCCGGAAUCAUUGGGUUUAAAGGGUCCGUAGGCGGUCUUGUAAGUCAGUGGUGAAAGCCCAUCGCUCAACGGUGGAACGGCCAUUGAUACUGCAGGACUUGAAUUAUUGGGAAGUAACUAGAAUAUGUAGUGUAGCGGUGAAAUGCUUAGAGAUUACAUGGAAUACCAAUUGCGAAGGCAGGUUACUACCAAUUGAUUGACGCUGAUGGACGAAAGCGUGGGUAGCGAACAGGAUUAGAUACCCCUGUAGUCCCUGUCUCUUAUAC
rnacentral:rRNA from 1 species